rnacentral:tRNA from 1 species
GCACCCGUAGCUCAGCUGGAUAGAGCACCAGACUACGAAUCUGGGGGUCAGAGGUUCGAAUCCUCUCGGGUGCGCCA